UACGGGGGAUGCAAGCGUUAUCCGGAAUCAUUGGGCGUAAAGCGCCUGUAGGUUGUUUAUUAAGUCUGUUGUUAAAGCCUGGGGCUUAACCCCAGAUAAGCAAUGGAAACUAAUAGACUAGAGUAUGGCAGGGGUAGAGGGAAUUUCUAGUGUAGCGGUGAAAUGCGUAGAUAUUAGAAAGAACACCGGUGGCGAAAGCGCUCUACUGGACCAUUACUGACACUCAGAGGCGAAAGCUAGGGUAGCAAAAGGGAUUAGAUACCCCUGUAGUCCUAGCCGUAAACGAUGGAUACUAGAUGUUGUGCAGUCGUACAGUAUCGUAGCUAACGCGUUAAGUAUCCCGCCUGGGGAGUACGCUCGCAAGGGUG
rnacentral:rRNA from 1 species